rnacentral:rRNA from 1 species
AACGUAGGAGACAAACGUUAUCCGGAGUUACUGGGCGUAAAGGGCGUGUAGGUGGUUGUGUAAGUUCGGCGUGAAAUCUCUCGGCUUAACCGGGAGUGGUCGUCGGAUACUGCACGACUAGAGGACGGUAGAGGCGUGUGGAAUUCCGGGUGUAGUGGUGAAAUGCGUAGAGAUCCGGAGGAACACCAGUGGCGAAGGCGACACGCUGGGCCGUACCUGACACUGAGGCGCGAUAGCAUGGGGAGCAAGCAGG